rnacentral:rRNA from 1 species
AUUGAACGCUGGCGGCAUGCCUUACACAUGCAAGUCGAACGGCAGCAUGAUCUAGCUUGCUAGAUUGAUGGCGAGUGGCGAACGGGUGAGUAAUACAUCGGAACGUGCCCUGUAGUGGGGGAUAACUAGUCGAAAGAUUAGCUAAUACCGCAUACGACCUGAGGGUGAAAGUGGGGGACCGCAAGGCCUCAUGCUAUAGGAGCGGCCGAUGUCUGAUUAGCUAGUUGGUGAGGUAAAGGCUCACCAAGGCGACGAUCAGUAGCUGGUCUGAGAGGACGAUCAGCCACACUGGGACUGAGACACGGCCCAGACUCCUACGGGAGGCAGCAGUGGGGAAUUUUGGACAAUGGGCGAAAGCCUGAUCCAGCAAUGCCGCGUGUGUGAAGAAGGCCUUCGGGUUGUAAAGCACUUUUGUCCGGAAAGAAGUGGCUCUGGUUAAUACCUGGGGUCGAUGACGGUACCGGAAGAAUAAGAACCGGCUAACUACGUG